rnacentral:rRNA from 1 species
CCUACGGGAGGCUGCAGUGAGGAAUAUUGGUCAAUGGACGAGAGUCUGAACCAGCCAAGUAGCGUGAAGGAUGACUGCCCUAUGGGUUGUAAACUUCUUUUAUAUGGGAAUAAAAUGUUCCACGUGUGGGAUUUUGUAUGUACCAUAUGAAUAAGGAUCGGCUAACUCCGUGCCAGCAGCCGCGGUAAUACGGAGGAUCCGAGCGUUAUCCGGAUUUAUUGGGUUGAAAGGGAGCGGAGGUGGAUUGUUAAGUCAGUUGUGAAAGUUUGCGGCUCAACCGUAAAAUUGCAGUUGAAACUGGCAGUCUUGAGUACAGUAGAGGUAGGCGGAAUUCGUGGUGUAGCGGUGAAAUGCUUAGAUAUCACGAAGAACUCCGAUUGCGAAGGCAGUUCACUGGACUGCAACUGACACUGAGGCUCGAAAGUGUGGGUAUCAAACAGGAUUAGAUACCCUAGUAGUC